GACAGAGGGUGCAAACGUUGUUCGGAAUUACUGGGCGUAAAGCGCGUGUAGGCGGCUAUGUAAGUCGGGCGUGAAAUCCCACGGCUCAACCGUGGAAGUGCACCCGAAACUGCGUGGCUAGAGGUAGGUAGGGGAGAUCGGAAUUCCUGGUGUAGCGGUGAAAUGCGCAGAUAUCAGGAGGAACACCGGUGGCGAAGGCGGAUCUCUGGGCCUUACCUGACGCUCAGGCACGAAAGCUAGGGGAGCGAAGAGG
rnacentral:rRNA from 1 species